rnacentral:lncRNA from 1 species
AUGAUGUUUGUGAACGAAGGAGUGAAAGGCUGCCAAAAUAAGGUCAACAACCCUCCUGCAUUCUUAACAAAGAACAUAACAAUAUUUCUGAUAUUACAGUGAAGAAAAAAAAACUGAUGAGGGAACUCACCUUCUCUAGCUUUGUUUCUCCAAUUUUCUCUCUGCUGUUAGCCUCUUCAAUCCUGAUAAAAAAGAAAAAGUAAUCA